GUUGUCAAUAGGCCGAUGAGCUAUAGUAGUAGACGCUGGGCCACCAAAGAAGGUGCAACAGGAAAAACAGCUUGAUUGAGCUUCAUAUGGCAAAGGGAAAGCACAUGAAAAAGUGGCAGAACCAGAUCUUGGUCGAGAAGAAGUUAAAGAAAGGCAUCAGCUAUCUUCUCUGAGGAAAUAAUUGCAGGUACGUGGUUGCAGAAGUGAAUACAUAGAGAACAGCGCUAUCCGUCUGUGUAGUCGAGGGACUUCCGAAUGCAGGCGACUACAUCUAAAAAUCACAGGGAUCUGUUACUGGAGGAAGAACGGCAGAGAAUUUUUAAAAUUAUUUGUACUCUGAAAGUUGAAGGGGGCCAACAAGACGACUGAGAAUAAGAACAACAAUAAAACAAAGAUCUCGACGACGAUUAUCCCGAAUGAGGCACAAGAAACCUUUUUGAAGACGUUAUCUAAAUUCACUAUGACAUUGAUGAUAAUAGGAUAUAUUGGGCGUGAUAGGACAUCAGCAGAGUGGCAAAGAAGAUGGAAAACGAAUAAAAUAUUGAGUGAAUCUAAGAAUGAAAUAUUACUCCUGAGUUGUUUAUGUUACUGGACAUAUUUUAUUUUAAACAGGUUUAAUUCUCUACAGAAACGAAAAUAACGAUUAUAGAUAAGGCAUAAGGCCAAGCACUCUAUUGUUAACAUUAAAGAUGUAUUAACUAAUUCUUUGUACAAUUAUCUGUAGAGUAGGAAAUAAUAAACAAUGAACUCGA